rnacentral:rRNA from 1 species
UACGUAGGGUCCGAGCGUUGUCCGGAAUUAUUGGGCGUAAAGAGCUCGUAGGCGGUUUGUCGCGUCUGCUGUGAAAUCCCGAGGCUCAACCUCGGGCCUGCAGUGGGUACGGGCAGACUUGAGUGCGGUAGGGGAGAAUGGAAUUCCUGGUGUAGCGGUGGAAUGCGCAGAUAUCAGGAGGAACACCGAUGGCGAAGGCAGUGCUCUGGGCCGUAACUGACGCUGAGGAGCGAAAGCGUGGGGAGAGAACAGG